rnacentral:rRNA from 1 species
UACAGAGACCUCAAGCGUUAUCCGGAAUCAUUGGGCGUAAAGCGUACCGAUAGGUUGUUUUACAAGUCAGGUGUGAAAUCUCAAGGCUCAACUUUGAGACUGUCUCUUGAAACUGUAAAACUAGAGGGGUAAAGAGGAAGCUGGAACGAACGGUGUAGUAGUGAAAUGCGUUGAUAUCGUUCGGAACACCAAUAGCGAAGGCAGGCUUCUGGGUACCACCUGACACUGCUAGGACGAAAGCGUGGGGAGCGAAUGGG